rnacentral:tRNA from 2 species
UGGGGAUUAGCCAAGCGGUAAGGCAACGGACUUUGACUCCGUGAUUCCUAGGUUCGAAUCCUAGAUCCCCAGCCA